rnacentral:rRNA from 1 species
UACGGGGGGGGCAAGCGUUGUUCGGAAUUACUGGGCGUAAAGGGCUCGUAGGUGGCCAACUAAGUCAGACGUGAAAUCCCUCGGCUUAACCGGGGAACUGCGUCUGAUACUGGAUGGCUAGAGAUUGGGAGAGGGAUGCGGAAUUCCAGGUGUAGCGGUGAAAUGCGUAGAUAUCUGGAGGAACACCGGUGGCGAAGGCGGCAUCCUGGACCAAUAUUGACGCUGAGGAGCGAAAGCCAGGGGAGCAAACGGG